rnacentral:lncRNA from 10 species
GGGUGAGGUUUUGGGGGCUCUGAUGUGCAAGGGGAUUACAGGCAUGAGCCACCGCACCCGGCCUGAUGGGUGAAUUUUUAAGAGGAAGAAUAAUAAGCAAAUAGACUAGUUUAAAAGCAAGGUAUCAUUUCCUUGGUGGAUCUCUUGAGAAGGAGAUGGAAACAGUGAUGGGGGACUUUGGCUUGGCCUCCACUGAGUCCCAGAACUUUUCUCUCUAGAGGUGUUGCCACCUUUAAAUGGCCCCUUACUCUCAUAAUCAGUGCUGAGUAGUGGCAAGGGGGAGAAAAUGGAAAAGUUGGCAUGGGAGAGAAGGCAGAUCCAGAAGAUAGGAUACAGCUCAGGUAAAGGGCCAAAGGUCUCCUGAAAUGACUCUUCAAGGCAACUUCUUAGUGUUUGACUGCCUCUUUCUUACAUUCUUUUUAUUUUGCCCCAGCCCUGAGAAUGUGGCCUGAUUUUCUCUUCUGUUAUUACAACUGCUCUUCUGCUUGAGUUUCUUCUACACCUUCAAGAUGGCUGAAGAACAAGACGCUUUCUCUCCAUGUCUAUGCUGUUUCACUGUGAGUAAAGCAAGUGUAUGCUGCAAAUAUUCCCAGCCUUUUCCCCUUGAUGCCCAAAAUAAAUUCCUCAAAUACCCUGAG